rnacentral:rRNA from 1 species
CCUACGGGAGACAGCAGUGAGGAAUAUUGGUCAAUGGCCGGAAGCCUGAACCAGCCAUGUCGCGUGCAGGACGAAGGAUCUACGGGUUGUAAACUUCUUUUGUAGGGGGAUAAAGGUAUCCACGUGUGGAUAUUUGCAUGUACCCUAUGAAUAAGCAUCGGCUAACUCCGUGCCAGCAGCCGCGGUAAUACGGAGGAUGCGAGCGUUAUCCGGAUUUAUUGGGUUUAAAGGGUGCGUAGGUUGUUUUAUAAGUCAGCGGUGAAAGUUUGUGGCUCAACCACAGGGCUGCCGUUGAAACUGGAAGACUUGAGUGUGGUUGCAGUAGGCGGAAUGCGUGGUGUAGCGGUGAAAUGCAUAGAUAUCACGCAGAACACCGAUUGCGAAGGCAGCUUACUAGGCCAUAACUGACACUGAAGCACGAAAGCGUGGGGAUCGAACAGGAUUAGAUACCCGUGUAGUC